ensembl:misc_RNA predicted gene, 27470
GAGCUGUCUGUCUUUUCCAUUUGGACUGCACUGAGCUAAGAAGGUCAGGGGCAUAUUGUAUGGAUAAUACACAUGCCAGACUUUGGGAAUCAGUGAGUAAAGGAGUCCAUCCCACCUCACAUACACUCAGCACAUGUCAUUCUGGGAUUCAGAGCAACUGGUAUUCUGUUUGGAGGUCCCUUCUUAGAUUUUUGGUUACCUAGCAACAAGAC